UCUGAGCCACAAAAGUGUCCAGGGGUCACAUGUAACUUCUGUUAAAUUGCAGUUACACCAGUGAGCUGUGGAGAUCUCUGGGGGGAGACCCCUUGCUUGCCACUCAGGUCCUACAGGUCCUAAUAGAAAAAAUAAAGACGUCAACAAGCCAAGAAGAAAGCAUCACCUCAGAGACUGAAACUGACAGGCAUUUGGCAGCUGCUGAACCUCUCUCAGCAACAUGUGCCAUCUCUGAGGUGGUGUCAGCACAGCAGUCGAGCAAAGCUGUGCAGGAGCUGCUCCCAGAGUUGUUUCCUGUUCUCCUGCAGCAGGUCAGCCGAACCUCAGGACAAAAGAUGCCUUUGCCAAGGAUAAGCAGCUGGAGCCUAUUCCAAAAAGACCAACAACAUACUGAGGGCAACCCUUGCCGGUUUUCUGUCCAAGCGUUAGAAUCUGUGCUUUCCAAAGCUAGGAAUGAGAGACUGGUGAGAGUGCUCAGG